rnacentral:rRNA from 1 species
UACGAAAGGAGCAGGUGUUAUUCAGAUUAACUGGGCGUAAAGGGCAUGUAGACGGUUCAUUAUGUGUAUUAUGAGUUACAAAGUAUAAUUUUGGAAAGUAGUAUACACAGCAGAACUUGAGUUGGGUAUAGGGUAGCAGAAUCUUUAAUGUAAAGGUGAAAUUUGGUGAAAUUAAAGAGAAUACCAAGGCGAAAGCAGUUACCUAUGACGAAACUGACGUUGAGGUGCGAAGGCAUGGGUAGCAAAUAGG